AACGAAAGCUGGCGGCAGGCCUAACACAUGCAAGUCGAACGCUCGUAGCAAUACGGGAGUGGCAGACGGGUGAGUAACGCGUGGGAACGUACCCUUUGGUUCGGAACAACUCCGGGAAACUGGAGCUAAAACCGGAUAAGCCCUACGGGGGAAAGAUUUAUCGCCGAAGGAUCGGCCCGAGUCGGAUUAGCUAGUUGGUGGGGUAAUGGCCCACCAAGGCGACGAUCAGUAGCUGGUCUGAGAGGAUGAUCAGCCACACUGGGACUGAGACACGGCCCAGACUCCUACGGGAGGCAGCAGUGGGGAAUAUUGGACAAUGGGCGCAAGCCUGAUCCAGCCAUGCCGCGUGAGUGAUGAAGGCCUUAGGGUUGUAAAGCUCUUUCGCGCGCGACGAUAAUGACGGUAGCGCGAGAAGAAGCCCCGGCUAACUUCGUGCCAGCCGCCGCCGUAAUAC
rnacentral:rRNA from 1 species